rnacentral:ncRNA from 1 species
UGCGCGGUUAUCGCGUUUGCUGUGCUAGAUACGAAAUAUAUUUAUAUAUAUAUGUAUAUAAAUCCUUUAAUGAGGAUCCAUUGAAGGACAAAUCUGAUGCCAGCAGCCAUAGUAAUUCCAACUCCAACAGCAUAUAUUAAAAUUGUUGCGAUUAAAAAGCUCAUAGUUGAAUCUGUGUCGCACACCGUCGGUUCACUAUUCGCGGUGUUUAACUGGCGUAAUGUGGAAUGUAGGUGUGACGCGUCUUACCUACUACGUACUACGAUGGGCUUAGUCGACUCAACUAAUAUCCCGUCGCGAUGCUCUUUACUGAGUGUCGAAUCAGGCCGGUACAUUUACUUUGAACAAAUUAGAGUGUUUAAAGCAGGCUAUCGCCUGAAUACUGCGUGGAAUAAUGGAAGGACCUCGGUUCUAUUUUGUUGGUUUUCGAAAUCUCAAGAUAAUGAUUAAUAGGGAUUGAUGGGAAUAUUCGUAUUGCGACGAUAGAGAAAUUCUUGGAUCGUCGCAAGACGAAUAGAAGCGAAAGCAUUUGCCAAAAAUGUUUUCAAGAAAUGUAAUCAAGAACGAAAGGUUAGAGGUUCGAAGGCAAUCAGAUACCGCCCCAGUUCUAACCAUAAACGAUGCCAGCUAGCGAUCCGCCGAAAUUCCUCCGAUGACUCAACGGGCAGCUUCUGGGAAACCAAAAUUUUUGGGUUCCAGGGGAAAUAUAGUUGCAAAGUUGAAACUUAAAGGAAUUGACGGAAGAGACACCACCAGGAGUGGAGCCUGCGGCUUAAUUUAACUCAACACGGGAAAUCUCACCAGGCCCAGACACCGGAAGGAUUGACAGAUUGAGCUUUUUCUUGAUUCGGUGGAUAGUGGUGCAUUCUUAGUUGGUGGAGCGAUUUGUCUGGUUAAUUCCGAUAACGAGAGACUCUAGCCUGCUAAAUAAGCAUAUCUUAUCACGAAAGUCUCCGGCUUCGAUCGAUGGGUUUUUACUACUAACCUACAAACAAUCUUCUUAGAGGGACAGGCGGCUUCUAGCCGCACGAGAUUGAGCAAUAACAGUCUGUGAUGCCCUUAGAUGCGGCCCUUUUUAGGACCGCACGCGCGCUACACUGAAGAAAUCAGCGUGUGUUCCCUGGCCGAAAGGCCCGGGUAACCCGCUGAACCUCCUUCGUGCUACGGAUUGAAGCUUGCAAUUGUUCCCCAUGAACGAGGAAUUCUCCGUAAGCGCGAGUCAUGAGCUCGCAUUGAUUACGUUCCUAUCCUUUGUACAUACCGCCCGUCGCUACUACCGAUUGAAUGAUUUAGUGAAGUCUUCGAACUGAUGUGCGGCAAUGCAUCGGCAUUGCCAAUGUUGCCGGGAAGAUGACUAAACUUGAUCAUUUAGAGGAAGUAAAAGUCGUAACAAGGUUUCCGUAUGAAACCUGCGGAAGGAUCAUUA